CACGGAGGCAACGGACGCACGGAGGCCAAGGCUCCAUCCCUGGCGGUGCCUCCUCCUCGCACUGGACGGCGGAGCAGCCCUCGGAGUCCCGGAACGGCUGGGGAAAGCCGGACCACCCGCAACUUCACACCUGAGAGCGUCCCCGCAGCCCGGCACCCGCGCCGCCCAGCGCCCCGCGUCGGCGGCCACGGGGCUUCUGCACAGGCGCAGCCGGGCCACCCUCCUCCACCACAGGCCUUGGGGCUCCCGACCGCGCUCCCGGACACGCGCCCGCGGCCCUCGCCCCCCCGCGGCCCCCACUCCCAGGCUGGGGCUGCAAGCGGGGCUGCAGGCUCAAGGGCCCGGGGCCGCCACACUGGCGCCCCUCGGACCCGGCAGGCCCGGCGCCCAGCCACACCCACACCCACACCCGCCCUCCAGGCGCGCCCGCAGCCCCUCACCUGCUGCAACAUGACGGCCCUGCGCCAGCCCCACUUCCGGGAGCCACGUCAGCCCCGCAGCUGACGCGACGCGGUCGCCACGGGAGGGGCGGGACAAAGGACAAGCGCGGACCGUUCCCACUUCCGCUUCCAGAAGCAACUGAAAAAAGAUAAACGUGCUCCUGUAAAGAGGCGGGAAGGUGCUAAGAAGAAACGAGAUGGAGGGCUCUAAAUGCAGGGAGGAAGACAGGCCAGGAAACAGGAAGGAACAGAGGUUGAGAGCGUGGGUUUGAGUCCCUGCAUCUCCAGGGCACAGCAUCCAAAUGCCAUGUUUCGGGGAUCCCUGGGUGGCGCAGCGGUUUGG